rnacentral:rRNA from 1 species
GAUGAACGCUGGCGGCGUGCCUAAUACAUGCAAGUCGAGCGAACUGACGAGGAGCUUGCUCCUCUGACGUUACCGACGGACGGGUGAGUAACACGUGGAUAACCUUUCUUUCAGACUGAGCUAACUUCAGUUAACCUGAUCUAAUACCGGCUAAUAUAUUGAACCGCAUGUUUCAAUAGUGUAAGCCGGUUUUUCUGUCACUUAUUGAUGGAUCCGCGCCGCAUUAGCUAGUUGGUAAGGGAACGGCAUACCAAGGCAACGAUGCUUAGCCGACCUGAGAGGGUGAUCGGGCAGACGGGAAGUGAGAAACGGUACAGACACUGACGGGAGGAAGCAGUAGAGAAUCUUACGCGAUGGGCGAAAGCUUGACGGAGGAACGCCGCGGGAAUCAUGAAGGUGUUAGGAUGGGAAAACGCUGUAAUUAGGGAAGAAGAAAAGUGUAAGUAACUAGGCACGUCUUGACGGUACCUAAACAGAAAGCCACGGCAAACUACGUG